UGCAGCAGCAUCGAUAUCAAACGACAAAUCUUUUUCUACAAACAUAAACGACUUGCCGUUAUAGGCGGAGUGACAGACCGGCGUGUCUCAAUUCUCAUCAAAGACAAGACGAAACCCUCCAUUUCCAGUGUCCGCUGAAAAUCAUUAAUGUCAAGGUUUUAGCUUCUGUUUUAGGGUUUUACGACAGCCCCAAUAAGCAACAAGAAACAAGUAAACUAAUAUCUCAAUCAGAUGAUCUCGAAAACCCACAAAUCUUUGCUUAUUGUGUUGCCAAAAUCUCUACUUGAACCCAACAUCUGCAACUGCAAUAGCAACCAUCUUUACCAUUUUCUUCAGUAUAGAUCCAUAGUGAAGGUGAGGCUCAAGUGGGUGAAGAACCGUAGCCUAGACCAUAUAAUCGACACAGAGACCGAGCUCAAGGCAGCUUGUCUAUUAAAGGACGCAGUCAAACGCUCUCCUACUGGAUUUCUCACUGCCAAGUCUGUUGCUGAUUGGCAAAAGCUUCUUGGCCUUACUGUUCCUGUUCUUCGUUUCUUGCGCAGGUAUCCGACACUCUUUAGCGAAUUUCCACACGCUCGCUAUGCGAAUUUGCCUUGUUUCCGGUUGACAGAUACUGCACUCAUGCUAGAUUCACAGGAACAGAACAUACACCAAAAUUAUGAGAGUGAUACUGUGGAGAGGCUUUGCAGAGUGCUUAUGAUGACCAAAAGUAGGACAGUACCACUUCAAUCACUGCAUCCUUUGAAGUGGGACCUGGGUUUGCCUGAUAAUUUUGAGAAAAUAUUGAUUCCAAAGUACCCUAAUUAUUUUCAAUUUGUUAAGGCAUUAAAUGGUAUUAGCUGCUUGCGCCUUGUCCAAUGGAAAGAGGAAUUUGCAGUUUCUGCAUUGCAGCGGAGUAAUGAAAGCAAAGAAAUGGGUAACAAGUAUGAGCAGUUCAAGAGGGGGCAGACUACUUUGGCUUUCCCAAUGAGAUUUCCAAGGGGUUAUGGAGCACAGAAGAAGGUUAGAGCAUGGAUGGAGGAAUUUCAGAAGUUACCAUAUAUUUCUCCAUAUGAGGAUUCAAGGCUGAUUGACCCAAAUAGUGAACUCAUGGAGAAGCGAGUUGUUGGUGUUUUGCACGAGCUUUUGAGCCUUACAAUUCAUAAGAAGACCAAGAGGAACUACUUGAGGAGCUUGAGAGAGCAACUUAUUCUUCCACAUAAGUUUACUCGGUUAUUUACUAGGUAUCCAGGGAUUUUCUACCUCUCAUUGAAAUGUAAGACAACAACUGUUGCUCUUAGAGAGGGUUACCAGCGGGGAAAACUAGUGAAUCCACAUCCUCUUGCUAGUCUCAGAGAAAAGUUUUAUCAUGUAAUGAGAACUGGACUUGUUUAUCGGAAUAAAGGUGCAGAUAUGAUACCUGAAGACAUUUUGCUAAAUGAUGUUGAGAAUGAGAAUGGACCGAAUGAAUCUGAGGAAGAGAGUGAAGCAGGUGAUGAUUACUAUGUAGAUAACUCUGAGAUUGAGGAAGGGUCUGAUGAAGAGUAGCUUUGUCCAUCAGAAUCAACUAUAUUGCUGCACAAUUAGGAGAUACAGAAAUGAUUUCCUGAUACAUAGGUUCAAGCAUCAUACCAAGUCAAUUAAUGCAGGGAUGAUGUGAAGGCACCUUGUGAGUGCUGGAAAAUUCAAGGUCAGAGAUCCACCACAUUUAUCAACCUUUUAGAGAAAAAUGCUAUUUGCUAGUCGCGUUUCAUUAUUGAAGGGUAAGGUAAUGUCUCUCUAACUUCUCAGAAGGGUUUUCCUUAACCCCUUGUUUGAAAUCUUCAAUUUUCUUAUUUGGAAUGGAAUAAAUUCAGUUCUUUUUUGACCUUUAAAAGAA